GGAAGGAUCAUUAUCGAUUCUAACACCUCAAUCACUGUGAACUGGGUCGCUGCAUGGCAGCUCCUUUCGGGGUUUGGGCUCCCUAAUUAAAUCGGAUUGCUGGCGUGCGCGCUUCAAGGCGUGUGUGCUUGCUUUUCGGGCCCCGAUUGGAGUUUGUUCGUGCAGUGGUUUUCACGGCCGAGCCCCGUGCUCGGCAUUCGUGAACCUUUUUACCAACCUUGCAAAUUUGCAGACUGUACUGUUGGUCAAGCUUGUCUUGAUAACUUAAUCAUGGACAACUUUCAACGGUGGAUCUCUUGGCUCGUGGAUCGAUGAAGAACGCAGCAAAACGCGAUAUGUAGUGUGAAUUGCAGAAUUCAGUGAAUCAUCGAAUCUUUGAACGCAAAUGGCGCCCCUGGGUAUUCCCAGGAGCAUGUCUGUCUCAGUGUCGUUUUCACCUCGAGCACGCUUCGGCGUGGUGGUCUUGAGGCGUCUGGUUGCUUUCAGCUCCCAGUCCCUUGAAAUAGAGUGGCCGGACAGUGUGUGCUCUCGGGUCUGGUUCGCCCCGAACUCGCUCGCACGGCUGAUGGUGAGAUUUCUUUUAAUCUCCCUUGUCGUGUCGCAGCGGACUGUGGGUUGAGCCAGGCUCCGAAACGGGCCUCUUGUCCGAAACAAGCCAGUUCUGGAAAACGCAGUUUUUCGUUCACUCGGAAAACAUCUUCGACCUGAGAUCAGGCAAGACUACCCCGACA
rnacentral:rRNA from 1 species